GGGUCAGUAGGUUGGUCGUGCCACCGGUACGUACUGGUCUCACUGAUCCCUCCUUCCUGAAGAACCGUAAUGCCAUUUAUUUGGUGUUGCGGGGAAACAGGACUGUUACUUUGAAAAAAUUAGAGUGUUUAAAGCAAGCUAACGCUUGAAUACAUUAGCAUGUAAUAUUGAAAUAGGACGAUCGAUCCUAUUUUGUUGGUUUCUAGGAUUGACGUA
rnacentral:rRNA from 1 species